UGUGUACAAAGCAAGAGACCAAGGGAGCUUUGAAGAAGAACUUAUUGUCCUUAACACCAGCUUUUCAUCUUGCUUUAUAUCAUUCAACUUCAAGUGGCACAUUAUCUUUUAAGCCUAGUCAAUCAUUGAUUACUCUUCCUACUGCCCAUGUGAUGCCGUCUAAUUCCAGCGCUUCAAUUUCCAAACUUAGGGAAUCAUUGACACCAGAUGGCUCAAAAUGGAGUACAAGCCUCAUGCAAACAUUGGGAAACCACAGUAGGGGGGAGCAGGACUCUUCACUAGACAUGAAGGACUUCCGGCCACUUCGGAAAUGGUCAUCUUUAUCCAAACUCACUGCCCCGGAUAACUGUGGCCAGGGUGGCACUGUAUGCAGAGAAGAGUCAAGGAAUGGUUUGGAGAAGAUAGGGAAGGCUAAGGCUUUAACAUCACAACUGAGGACAAUUGGGCCUAGCUGUUUACAUGAUAGUAUGGAGAUGCUUAAGUUAGAGGACAAGGAAAUAAAUAAAAAACGGUCAUCAACUCUGGACUGCAAGUAUAAAUUUGAGAGCUGUAGCAAGGAGGACUUUAGAGCCUCUUCCUCUACUCUUAGGAGACAGACUGUAGACAUGACAUAUAGUGCCUUACCUGAAAGCAAGCCCAUUAUGACAAGCUCAGAGGCUUUUGAACCUCCAAAAUAUUUAAUGCUUGGUCAACAGGCAGUAGGUGGAGUUCCCAUUCAGCCUUCCGUAAGGACUCAGAUGUGGCUUACAGAGCAGCUGCGGACAAAUCCUUUGGAAGGUAGAAAUACAGAGGAUUCUUACAGUUUAGCUCCUUGGCAACAGCAGCAAAUUGAAGAC
rnacentral:sRNA from 1 species